rnacentral:lncRNA from 1 species
GAGAUUUUCUACAAAUCACGUACACAUUGCAAAAAUAAUUCAACCAGAGAGGUAUGGUAGUUUCUUGGAGUGAAAGGAGGACCAUGACAUCGGGCAUGUAUAAUAAAGUGAGGUCCAUCUAUGACAAUGGAGGUAUGGCUUGCUUCACAUAUUGUAACAUGAAUGGGCAUAUUUUUGUAAUUAUCUGCAUCUGCAUGUAUGUACUCUGAUUGAGUUGAAUGGGCAUCGAAUCGAAUUCUCCAAAUUCCCUCUUCCAUGCAUCUGUCGAUGCUUUGAUUGUUUAUUUAUUCUGAGUGUCUAGUGCAUGCAGCAUGCAGCAGAGCUUAAGGGCAUCAGAUUCACAUCUUAAUUAAAGUAGCUAGCUACUUAAUUAAUCAAUCUUGAACCUAAACCAAUCAACGAGAACUUAACAUGGGAUCACUUUUCAACUUGUAAGGAGAAAAAUAAAAAAGCACAAACAUAAAAGGGGAUAAGAAAGAAAAAGAUAUAUGUGAAUUUAAUCAACUUGUUGGAUAAAUGAUUCUCGUUUAAUUUGUACGAGUAAUUCCAUAUUGAGCGUCUUAUCUAAAACCUUUAGAUCUUUUAAUUGCUGGAUCAAACUAAUUAAUUUGAUCCAAUGAUUAAAAAAUAAGAUCUCAUCUAAAGACCUUGAAUAAGACUCUCACUAUAGAAUUAUACCAUUUGCGUACAGUACAGCUCUCGACUGGUUUACAAUCAAAUGCUGAGCUGCUUCCGAUUUCACAAGUCUGCAGACAAAAUUCAAGUGACAAAUCUGGGCUUUGCUGAAAAACUACAAGAAGUAUUUAUAGGCCCUUUUGAUCAGCAAAUGGGCUUAGCCUACACACAUGUAGCCCUGUCACGUGACUCAUCAUGACCCAUCCAGGAUCCACCUAUCUAUGGACCACGUGCGCUCUCUGUGAUCCAUUCCAUGCAAAUUGCAGUGCAUGCAGCAGAGCAGAUCAGUCUGUUUUCUUCAAGGCUUUGUUCUUUUUCUUCAAAAAGAUGACAACUUUUAUGUACGUACUGGUAAUGAAACCCAUCUGAAAUUUACUAUUUCCCUCUCCAUAUUUUAUCGGUUGAAGCUUACCCAUAACUUCAACACUCACAAUUUCACAACACACAGAGAGAUUAAUAAUAUCCAACUUCCAAGAUCAAAAUUGAAACCUCUUCUUCUCUCCUCUUUUCUUGUCAGAUCUUUUGGUCUAAUUUAUACCAAAAAAACUAAAAAUAUACCAGCAAUUCAGAACUCCUUUAUUG